UACGUAGGUGGCAAGCGUUGUCCGGAAUUAUUGGGCGUAAAGAGCUCGUAGGCGGUCUGUCGCGUCGGUCGUGAAAACUUGGGGCUUAACCCUGAGCUUGCGGUCGAUACGGGCAUGACUGGAGUUCGGCAGAGGAGACUGGAAUUCCUGGUGUAGCAGUGAAAUGCGUAGAUAUCAGGAGGAACACCGAUGGCGAAGGCAGGUCUCUGGGCCACUACUGACGCUGAGAAGCGAAAGCAUGGGGAGCGAACAGG
rnacentral:rRNA from 1 species